ACUGAGCGGCGGACGGGUGAGUAACGCGUGGGUAACCGUGCCUCAUACAGGGGGAUAACAGUUGGAAACGGCUGCUAAUACCGCAUAAGCGCACAGUACCGCAUGGUACGGUGUGAAAAACUCCGGUGGUAUGAGAUGGACCCGCGUCUGAUUAGGUAGUUGGUGGGGUAACGGCCUACCAAGCCGACGAUCAGUAGCCGACCUGAGAGGGUGACCGGCCACAUUGGGACUGGGACACGGCCCAA
rnacentral:rRNA from 1 species